ACCCGCUGAAAUUUAAGCAUAUAAUUAAGCGGAGGAAAAGAAACUAACUAGGAUUCCCUCAGUAACGGCGAGUGAAGCGGGACUAGCUCAGGAUGUGAAUCUGCGCUUUUAAGGCGCCGAAUUGUGGUCUGUAGACUUUGACGUUAUCUGCCGGCCCAAGUUCCUUGGAAAAGGACAGCUGAGAGGGUGAGACUCCCGUCCGGCUGGUAGAAUGAGUCAUGUGUCAACGAGUCGAGUUGUUUGGGAUUGCAGCUCUAAUUUGGUGGUAAAUUCCAUCUAAAGCUAAAUAUUGGUGGGAGACCGAUAGCGUACAAGUACCGUGAGGGAAAGAUGCAAAGAACUUUGAAAAGAGAGUUAAAGAGUACCUGAAAUUGCUGAAACGGAAGCGAAGGAAACCAGUGUUUGUUUGUUCAUAUUUCCCUGGCCACUUGUGGUUUGGGCGCUGUGAGCUUGCGUGGGUUUGCUUUGGUUGAAUCUUUUGGAAGAGCGCAGACAGAGUUGAUGUCUGUUGCUAGCACUGGAUUUGACUCAAGCAGACGAAAUGGUUUUCUUUACCCCGUCUUGAAACACGGACCAAGG
rnacentral:rRNA from 1 species